rnacentral:misc_RNA from 1 species
GAAGCAAAUUGAGCAGAUCAACCUCAUAUUAAUUUCUUCUUUCACUAAAGAAAGGUCAUUAGAUAUGGCUUCCUUUAAUUCUUCCUCUCCAACUCUCACAACCUUUAAAUUCCUUAUAGGGGCAUUUUAUUUUCUUGUUGGAAUCUCCUCUGCUCAGUUAUCUUCUACUUUCUAUUCAACAACAUGCCCUAGUGCCCUCUCCUCCAUUAAGUCAGCUGUAAACUCUGCUGUAUCCAGUGAGGCUCGUAUGGGUGCAUCAUUGCUUCGUCUUCAUUUCCAUGACUGCUUUGUUAAUGGAUGUGAUGCAUCAGUAUUGUUGGAUGGAGCGGCAGGUGAGAAGACAGCACCCGCUAACAAUAAUUCUCUAAGGGGCUUUGAAGUUAUUGACAAGAUUAAAUCCCAAUUGGAGAGUUCAUGCCCUGGUGUGGUUUCCUGUGCAGAUAUCUUAACCGUUGCUGCUAGAGACUCUGUUGUUGCUUUGGGUGGACCUAGUUGGACAGUUCAAUUAGGCAGAAGAGAUUCAACCACAGCAAGUUUUAGUGCUGCUUCUACCAACAUACCUUCUCCAUUUUCAGAUCUCAGUCUUCUCAUCUCUAAUUUCUCCAGCAAAGGUUUCACUACUAAAGAAAUGGUGGCUCUCUCAGGAUCUCAUACAAUUGGACAAGCAAGAUGCACAAUAUUUCGCAACAGGAUUUACAACGAAACCAACAUAGAUUCUUCAUUUGCAACAUCACUAAAAGCCAAUUGUCCUACCUCUGGAGGAGACAAUACACUCGCUCCUCUUGAUCUCACCAGUCCAAAUGCUUUUGAUAAUGCUUAUUUCAGGAAUUUGUUGAGCCAAAAGGGACUCCUGCACUCUGACCAACAACUCUUCAGUGGAGGUUCUACAGACGCUCAAGUCAGAGCUUAUAGCACCAAUCCAACAUCUUUCAGUACAGAUUUUGCCAAUGCAAUGGUGAAGAUGGGAAACCUCAGCCCACUUACAGGCACAAGUGGCCAGAUCAGGACCAACUGUAGGAAAGCCAAUUGAGUCUAUUAUACUCUGUUUUCAGGUCUUUUCAUGGCCAAUACAUAACUGUAUUCCAUAUAUGCAUUGUGUAAUAGAGACAUGUUCCGUUGUUGUUUCUUUUCUUUUUAUAAUGGAAGUUCCUGUUGUUGAUUUUCAUUUGUAUUAGUGGGAUUUACAUAUUAAAUUUUGUUUCAUGUGGAUGUAUUAUCUUCCUUAAUAAAAGUAAUGCGUUUUCUUAGUAAAAAA